CAAACCCCUCCUCUGCUCGCACAGACGCAGGUGGACACACUCCACAAACAGAGGCAGAAACAAACGCAUUUCUCGGUAGGAUUUGUUAGCCAAACCCUAGGCUCUCAUGCUCCUUCUCUUAUACAUUUGCUUUGAUGAAUGUGGUUUUCGUAGAUGAUCACUGGAUGCUAUUUUUCGACACUCUUUUAAUUGUUGGUUUGUCCUUCGGAGUAAUUUGCAAUAUGCUGCACUGAGUGCUUUGAGAAGACUUCCUCUGGAUCCCGGAACUCCCGCAUUUCUUCAUCGUGCUGUACAGGAGAUGUUCAAGAUGUUUAAAGCAGUGCAUUAAGUGAUUAUACUGUAUAGUAUGUGGUUGUCCAUCAAUGGGUUACGUGACCACUAAAUAAUUUUAUGGGUGUUUGAAGUUGUCUGAAAAUUGCAAGAUCACAGUAAACAUCGGUAACAUAUACUGCAAACCAGAAGCUGAGGUCGGAUUAUAUGCCUUGUUGAAGCAGCCAAAUAGUGUUUAUGUGGACAACCUCCAGAAUAGGCACUUGCUGGACGCAAGGUGGUUGUUUAUCAAGCUGCUAAGUGUAUAUUGGUUGCUGCCUUUUGGUUGAUGCAUGGCUGGACCAAAAUGUAUGUGUGAGGAUGUGUUGUACUGGAUGAAGGUUCAGGGAUUUUGAACCUGGAUGCAUGUUAGAGACGACUCUGUUUCAUUGGGCAGUUUUUUGUUGGGAUACAAUUCAACACGAACAAUUUCAUUGUGGUAGAUAAACUGUGAAGUGGACCACUGCCGUGCGUGUGAAAUGACUUGAUCCUGUCUCACCCGGCCCUGCCAAGCCAGUGGAUUUUGCUGCCUAUAAGUGUUAUGGACCAUUUUUGAUUCAGUUGAUGAUGUUAAUAUUGUAUUACAUUUAGAAUUUAAUAAGACCUGAGAUUUAAAUUUGUAAGGUUCAGGGAUUUGGAAUGUAAUAGUUAAAAAUCCUUUAUCAAUUCCUGGAAAACUGAUCAAGGAUUUUUAACAGUUUAUGAAUGAAUGUUCACAUGGUUCUCUCUUUGAAAUAA